UACGGAGGGUGCGAGCGUUAUCCGGAAUUACUGGGUUUAAAGGGUGCGUAGGCGGCUAUGUAAGUCAGAUAGGGAAAGUUUGCGGCUCAACCGUAAAAUUGCUUUUGAUACUGCAUGGCUAGAAUCAGGAUGAGGUCAGCGGAAUGUGGCAUGUAGCGGUGAAAUGCAUAGAUAUGCCAUAGAACACCAAUUGCGAAGGCAGCUGGCUAGACCUGUAUUGACGCUGAGGCACGAAAGCGUGGGGAUCGAACAGG
rnacentral:rRNA from 1 species